UACGAAGGGGGCUAGCGUUGCUCGGAAUCACUGGGCGUAAAGGGUGCGUAGGCGGGUCUUUAAGUCAGGGGUGAAAUCCUGGAGCUCAACUCCAGAACUGCCUUUGAUACUGAAGAUCUUGAGUCCGGGAGAGGUGAGUGGAACUGCGAGUGUAGAGGUGAAAUUCGUAGAUAUUCGCAAGAACACCCGUGGCGAAGGCGGCUCUCUGGGACGGUACUGACGCUGAGACGCGAAAGCGUGGGGAGCGAACAGGA
rnacentral:rRNA from 1 species